CGUCCAAACCAAACCCCUGUGAACCUUACGGGAUGGCCCGGGUUAGCGCCCGGUGCCGUUCCGCUUUAUACAAACACUUAUCAAAGAAUGAACUGAAGGCGGUCUGACCGCUGGAUAACAAACUGAAACAACUUUCAACAACGGAUCUCUUGGCUCUCGCAUCGAUGAAGAACGCAGCGAAAUGCGAUAAGUAAUGUGAAUUGCAGAAUUCAGUGAAUCAUCGAAUCUUUGAACGCACCUUGCGCCCUCUGGUAUUCCGGAGGGCAUGCCUGUUUGAGUGUCUUGAUAUCAUCAAACCCCUCGGGUUCGCGCCCGUCGCGGUUUGGAGUUGGGGGUUGCUGCCGCGAGGCGGCUCCCCUUAAAAUCAUCGGUUUGGCCCGCAUCAUGCGGCUUGCACCUUUGGCGUUGUAUUUUCCUCGCCUUCAAUCGGUCUCGCUCGCUUCCGUGCCUCACUUCGACUUGCCCUUUGGGUGGCGGUCACUUCUUGACAAUCUGGCCUCAAAUCAGGUAGGACUACCCGCUGAACUUAAGCAUAUCAAUAAGCGGAGGAAAAGAAACUAACAAGGAUUCCCCUAGUAACUGCGAGUGAAGCGGGAAAAGCUCAAAUUUGAAAUCUGGCGGUUUCUGCC
rnacentral:rRNA from 1 species